CCGCAGCGACUGCGGAGGACAUUAUCGAGUUUUUGAAGGGGUUGUAGCUGGCCUUCCGAGGCAUAUAAUAUGUGCACACCCUGCUCAAUCCCACUCUCUACACCUGUGCACUUACUGUGGGUUUCUCCGAGGUGGCAGAGCGGGCCUUUUUUCUUGGCCUGCGAAGCCCUUCUGGGCCUGCGUUUUUAUUAUAAACUCUAAAGUGAUCAGAAUGUGUGCAAUGCGCGAUGUAAACGCAUCUAUAUACAACUUUCAGCAACGGAUCUCUUGGCUCUCGCAUCGAUGAAGGACGCAGCGAAAUGCGAUAAGUAAUGUGAAUUGCAGAAUUCAGUGAAUCAUCGAAUCUUUGAACGCACCUUGCGCUCCUUGGUAUUCCGAGGAGCAUGCCUGUUUGAGUGUCAUGAACUCCUCAACUCCACGGGCCCUUGUGGGGGUUUGUAGGGUUGGACUUUGGAGGUGUGUUGUCGGCCUGGUGGGGUCGGCUCCUCUUAAAUGCAUUAGUUCUGGUUCCUUGUGGAUCGGCUCUCGGUGUGAUAAAUGUGUCUAUGCUGCGGCCGUGAAGCGUUUGGCGGAGCUUCUUAACUGUCCCCUUGUCCGGACGAUUUAUUGACCUCUGACCUCAAAUCAGGUAGGACUACCCGCUGAACUUAAGCAUAUCAUAA
rnacentral:rRNA from 1 species